CCAGUGGCUGCUGCACGUUGCAGAUGAUUGUGACAUGUGAUAUCUGCCUGUGAGAUUCUUCCUGGGAAUCAUCUUCUAUCACUGACACCUGAGUGACUUCUUCCCCAGCUCUGAGCACAUGAAGAUCAGCAAACUGAUGUGCGAACCUGAUCGGAUGGUCCAUGUAUCCCUAUAGACUGGUGGGUGUAAACGGACUUGUGUCUGUGUGAAGAGGACCUAAACGGUGUAUAUUAUUCUCCGGCAUCAAGCUACAGGCCCAUGAACACUCAUAUGUGAACAGACACAAUUCAAAAGCAUGGGGUGUUAGAGCUUUGAGCUUGAAGCUGCAAAAUGCUUAAACUGAAAACACACAGUCACACAAUUCUGGUCAAUUCCAUAUGGAGGAAGCAGACUGGAUCCUGCAGGAAGAAGACAGCUUGGACGAAGAGGUCUCUGUUGAUAAAAAGACUCACUACCGAUUGGGCCCUGAUAAUCUGGAUGACACCCUGGAAUAUAAACCUGAGUCAUGUGACCUUGACACUGCAGCCAAUGAAGAAGAAAGCUGUGCCCCUGCUGUAUCAGAAUAGCCCACUGUGCAGGUUGUAACCAAGACUGAACUAAACAUGUACAUCAUGUAUAUCACUAUUAUCCAUGAUCACUAGAAAACACUGGUUUUGGAAUAAAACAUUUGUUGCAGCA